rnacentral:rRNA from 1 species
CCGGUUGAUCCUGCCGGAGGCUACUGCUAUUGGGAUUCGACUAAGCCAUGCGAGUCAAGGUGUCUUCGGACGCCGGCAUACGGCUCAGUAACACGUAGGUAACCUACCCUCAGGACUGAGAUAACCCCGGGAAACUGGGGCUAAUAUUAGAUAGAUAAAAGAUACUGGAAUGUUCUUUUAUCCAAAGCUUUUGCGCCUGAGGAUGGGCCUGCGUCCGAUUAGGUUGUUGGUGGGGUAAUGGCCCACCAAGCCUACGAUCGGUACGGGCAGUGGGAGCUGAAGCCCGGAGUUGGGGACUGAGACAAGGCCCCAGGCCCUACGGGGCGCAGCAGGCGCGAAACCUCUGCAAUGCGGGAAACCGUGACAGGGGGAUCCCAAGUGCUCAUGCAUUGCAUGGGCUGUUCUUUGGUCUAAGUAACCAGAGGAGUAAGAGCUGGGCAAGACCGGUGCCAGCCGCCGCGGUAAUACCGGCAGCUCAAGUGGUAGCCGCGAUUAUUGGGCCUAAAACGUUCGUAGCCGGAUAAGUAAGUCUUUGGUUAAAUCCUGCGACUUAACCGUGGGAAAUCUAGAGAUACUGCUUGUCUUGAGACCGGGAGAGGUUGGAGGUACUCCUAGGGUAGGGGUGAAAUCCUGUAAUCCUAGGGGGACCACCUGUGGCGAAGGCGUCCAACUGGAACGGGUCUGACGGUGAGGGACGAAACCUAGGGGAGCGAGCCGGAUUAGAUACCCGGGUAGUCCUAGGCGUAAAUGAUGCGAGUUAAGUGUGGGGGCAUCUACGAGAUGGCCCUGUGCUGCAGGGUAGCCGUUAAACUCGCUGCCUGGGGAGUACGGUCGCAAGGCUGAAACUUAAAGGAAUUGGCGGGGGAGCACCACAAGAGGUGGAGGCUGCGGUUCAAUUGGAUUCA